rnacentral:rRNA from 1 species
UACGAAGGGGGCUAGCGUUGCUCGGAAUGACUGGGCGUAAAGGGCGCGUAGGCGGAUGGCACAGUCAGAUGUGAAAUUCCUGGGCUUAACCUGGGGGCUGCAUUUGAUACGUGUGAUCUAGAGUGAGGAAGAGGGUUGUGGAAUUCCCAGUGUAGAGGUGAAAUUCGUAGAUAUUGGGAAGAACACCGGUGGCGAAGGCGGGUCUCUGGGCCAAUACUGACGCUGAGGAGCGAAAGCGUGGGGAGCGAACAGG